rnacentral:rRNA from 1 species
GAAGUAAAAGUCGUAACAAGGUUUCCGUAGGUGAACCUGCGGAAGGAUCAUUACCGAGUGAGGGCCCUCUGGGUCCAACCUCCCACCCGUGUUUAUUUUACCUUGUUGCUUCGGCGGGCCCGCCUUAACUGGCCGCCGGGGGGCUUACGCCCCCGGGCCCGCGCCCGCCGAAGACACCCUCGAACUCUGUCUGAAGAUUGAAGUCUGAGUGAAAAUAUAAAUUAUUUAAAACUUUCAACAACGGAUCUCUUGGUUCCGGCAUCGAUGAAGAACGCAGCGAAAUGCGAUACGUAAUGUGAAUUGCAAAUUCAGUGAAUCAUCGAGUCUUUGAACGCACAUUGCGCCCCCUGGUAUUCCGGGGGGCAUGCCUGUCCGAGCGUCAUUGCUGCCCUCAAGCCCGGCUUGUGUGUUGGGCCCCGUCCCCCGAUCUCCGGGGGACGGGCCCGAAAGGCAGCGGCGGCACCGCGUCCGGUCCUCGAGCGUAUGGGGCUUUGUCACCCGCUCUGUAGGCCCGGCCGGCGCUUGCCGAUCAACCCAAAUUUUUAUCCAGGUGACCUCGG